rnacentral:rRNA from 1 species
CCUACGGGGGGCUGCAGUGAGGAAUAUUGGUCAAUGGGCGCGAGCCUGAACCAGCCAAGUCGCGUGAGGGAGGACGGCCCUACGGGUUGUAAACCUCUUUUGCCGGGGAGCAACGGGCGUCACGUGUGGCGCCACUGAGAGUACCCGGAGAAAAAGCAUCGGCUAACUCCGUGCCAGCAGCCGCGGUAAUACGGAGGAUGCGAGCGUUAUCCGGAUUCAUUGGGUUUAAAGGGUGCGCAGGCGGGCCUUUAAGCCGGCGGUGAAAUCGCGGGGCUCAACCCCGCCGAGCCGUCGGAACUGGGGGCCUUGAGGGCGGCGGAGGCAUGCGGAAUGCGCGGUGUAGCGGUGAAAUGCAUAGAUAUCGCGCAGAACCCCGAUUGCGAAGGCAGCGUGCCGUGCCGCCACUGACGCUGAGGCACGAAAGCGCGGGGAUCGAACAGGAUUAGAUACCCCAGUAGUC